ensembl:lncRNA
AUCUGGCCAUUUGCGACAACAUGGAUGGACCUUGAGGGUAUUACGCUAAGGGAAAUAAGUCAGAGAGAGAAAGUCAAAUACCAUAUGAUGUCACUGAUAAGUAGAAGAUAAAAACAAUGACAAACAAACACAUAGCAAUGGAGACUGGAUAGGUAGCUACCAGAGGGGAAGGGGGAAGGGGGAAGUGGGAGGGCACAAGGAGUGAUUAGGCUCACAUGUGAAGUGAUAGACCAUAAUUAGUUUUCGGGUGGUGAACAUGAUGUAAUCUACACAGAAUUCAAAAUAUAUUACGAUGUACAUCUGAAAGCUAUACAAUGUUAUAAUCCACUGUUACUGCGAUAAAAAAAAGUAAAACAAAAAGAAUACUCGUCCAUACAGAAAAAAAUAUUUAAUAUACUUAUGCACAGAAAGUUUGCCAGUCACAUUUUGGUUUUAUUUUAAAAAGAAUUAAAGAUAAUUUUUGCAGAAGGAAAGACUCACACAGGAAAUUCUUACUCUGUCAGACAGUAUUAUUGCCAAAUUUAAGACAUUAUAUUAAUUUGCUAGGGCUGCCAUAACGAAGUACCACAGGCUGGGUGAUUGAAACGACAGAAAUUUAUUUUUCUCACGACUUUGGAGGCUAGAAAUCAGAGAUCAAGGCGUCCACAGGGUUGAUGUCCCCUGAGGCCUCUCUCUGACUUGCAGAUGGCCGUCUUCUCCCCGUGUUGUCACACUGUCUUCCUUCUGUGUGCGUCUCUGUCCUAACCCUCUGUUCUUCGAAGGACACCAGUUUUUUUGGAUAAGGGCCCACUUUCACGGCCUCAUUUUACCUUAACACGUCUUAUAGACCCAGUCUCCAAAUACAGUCACAUUCUGAGGUACUAGGGGUUAGAAUUUCAGCAUAGGAAUUUUGGGGGGCACAAUUGAGCCCAUAACAGAUAUGGACUAGGGUAAUGAUCUCAAAAGGUAUUUUCAUUUUUAUACCAUUACAGUAAAAAAUUACGAAUGAGUGUCCUAUGAUAAAGGUUACAUAAAUUAAGAAAAUUUUAGCAAAACAAUUUUCUGAAAUUAAAGCACCUAAGUUCAAUUUACCUUUCCCAGUUAAUGAACGAGAGAAUGUCUUCUCAACACUGACUAAUGCGGUUUAUUUAUUUACAAGAAAGCCCUAGUAACAACAGAAAAGAAAGAAAGCGUAAAGAGAUCUCAUUACACUUCAACGAUGUUUGUCAAAGCACUGGUCAGGUUCAUUGUACACUUUACAUUUACUUGUCAGAGAAAUCGGAAUGUAUCUGUUCAGCAAUGGAAGCCAGUUGGAGGAGUUUUGGUAGUUGUUGUUCAGGUGGGUUCAUGUCCAAAAUUUUAAAGGAACUGAGACUCUAAAAUCAAGGUUUGUAGGGGCCGGUCCCGUGGCUGAGUGGUUGGGUCCGCGCGCUCUGCUUCGGUGGCCCGGGGUUUCACGGGUUCGGAUCCUGGGCGCGGACAUGGUACCACUCAUCAAGCCAUGCUGAGGUGGCAUCCCACAUGCCGCAACUAGAAGGACCCAUAUCUAAAAGAAAUACACAACUAUGUACCGGGGGGCUUUGGGAGAAAAAGCAAAAUAAAAUCUUUAAAAAAAAAAAAUCAAGGUUCGUAAAGACUGAAAAUGAUCACUAGUCAGAGAACAUCUCUAUUGUGCUAAAGCACCAAUACUCACUGACACGAAAUGAGAGUUCACUUUGGAACUUAAGACGGAGAAGAGCUAGUGUCAGGUGUUAUGUGUGAAGAGAUUUGGGGGCCUCUUUAUUUAACUGUUUUUUAAAAUUUCUAUGUUGGAGCACAACAUACCAUGCACUAAAAAAUUAUAGCAGCCUAAAAUUUUCUGUGAGAUUUUUUUCUUAAGAAAACAAAAUGUCAAACCAUGUCUCUGGAUAUUUACACAAAAUAGGUGAUAAGACAUUCCAAGGAGAGAACAUGCUCUUAUAACGCUUAUCUUAACGCUGUGAAAAGCAAGAAUUUCAGGUCCUACUCCCACCUCCUUCGUUUCCUCUCUGCAGCCUCAAAUUUAACUACUUUUUAGUUCUAGCUCUCUCUUUGUAAGAAAACUAUGCAAAAGAAUAGCUAUUUGUUUCACGUUUUGUUAACGUUGGGGGUGAGGGUAGAGGGUGUAGCAACCAGUAAGAAUUCUAAGAUUCUUGGAAGUGCAUCUCACUGUAAAAAACUAUUUUAGUCAUGAAAAUCAACAACUACCCGGCUGCCAGACUAUAACAACAGCAGCAAACAGUAACAGCAAAAAGACCUAAGUGAGGGUGUGGGGCCAAGAAGUAAUAUUUAUUGUAUUCCUACUCCGAGUUAAAUAGUGUGUUAGAUUAUUUGUAUGUUCUGUUUAAUUUAGUCUUUAAAAAAACUAGAAAACUAAGGCUCAGGGAGGUGAAAUGAUUUUGCCAGUUUACUAUGACCAGCCAACAAUGAAAUUAGUAUUUUAAAAUAGGUCUGACUCCCCAGUUAUGCUCGUGUCCCCACAGCGUACCCUAGAAGGCCGGGGGAGGGGGGGGUCAGUUCUGCCAGCAUAACUGUGGUCAGAACAAUCAAGAAAGCCAAGGAAGUCAUAUUUGUCCGGAUUAAACAACUCAACCUACAAACCGCUCAACUCUAAUAUAAGGCAGAAAACUGGAUUUCAAAAGAAAAGAAAAAAGAGGAGAGCAAGGACACAAAACUGAGUUUCAGAAAAGAGAGCAAGUGAGAGAUUAGAAAUAAAUCUUGCCUGAUUUGCUCCCACGGGCAAGAAAAAUAAUAUUUUUCAAUCCUGCUUAACCCAAAGUAAUCUGAGUUAUUUAAAGUAUUAUAACCACUGGUGACCAACCAGAGAGUUUAUUCUACCUUUUCAUAAGCAAGGCCUCUCAGAAGCAGGAAGUGCAUGCAAAAAGGGCCCAAGUGAUCGAAAUGACAGUGAGUAGCUUCCGUUAUGUAUGAAGAGGGUCCCAUGUCUGCACCUCAUGUGUGUCGAGAGUUCCACCCUACACAGCUAGACCAGGAAGUCUCUUCUCCAUUCAGCCUGAGAAACCAGGAUAUUCUCUCUCCUAGGAGGCAUUCAAACACAAGCAGAGUCAUAAAGCCAGAGAGACAUUUGCACACCAUUUAGGCCAAUACCUUACUUUUCAAAGGAGGGCCAGCAUCUUUAGAUCCACCAGUGGUUAAUAACAGAAUCCCAGAUUAGAAAACUCAAGAUUUCAGAAAUCCAACUUUUUCUCCAAAAUAAAUGCAUAGUUUCAUUUGCAAAGUAGGGCAUUAUUACCUAAAGAUAACAGCAUCUGCAGAAAUACUUACUUAGCAACUAAAUCACAAGGUCUCCCUCAGAGCUUCCUUUAGGCUAGAAAUAGUCCGCGCUUAGCCAGCUGGCCUGAAAAACUACCAACAAACACAAAAAACCAAAAGAACUGCAGAGCUCAUCCCACGCCCCCAUCUACUCGGAGGAGUAUCUGUAGCACCUUUUUUUGAGACUGAGGGUUAUAAAGCUAAUGAAAGGAGAAGUGCCUGGCCUUGCUUCCUCUGUGGCAUGCUUUUAAUACCUGGAAAUACUUACCUUUCUAGUUAACCAAAUGCACAACUUUUUAUUCAACUGUUUCUUAAAUUGAAGGCCGGCACUAUUUGCAAAGACCGUGAUAGCUAUGACCUGUUCAGUGGCCUCAGCUCUGCCAGCAAUGAACACGGGCAGACCACAGACACCGGGGUGUGUCAGGACCACCUGUAACUACAGUGUCUGGGGUCCACAGGAGUACUGAGUAAUGCUGGUUUCCUGGCAGCCUAAGAGGUCUUAAGGGAAGUCACCUUCACUGUCCUGGUUCUAAAAAUGCAUUUUGGAAGCUCUGCUAUCCUAAUUUCGUCAUGUUGUUUUCCUAAUUUAUUUUAUUUGCCACAGAAGCAAAUAUUUCCAUAUUAACGCUAUACUGAUUAUAAAUAAAAAAAUAAGUGUAUGUCAUACGUAUUUCUCUAAUUUACAAGAAGCUGCAUUUUAAAUUCACACAUGAACACAUACAAAGAAAGAGAUGAUAAUUCUGCAACAAAUUAUCUGGUAAAAAAAUGUUCUUAUUUACUUUGACUUAAACACAGAGGCAGAAAGACUCAUCUGACAGAGCUUGCUUGAAUCACUCACAGCAUCAUAGUUUCAUGGAGCACUAAUUACAUGAAAGCUGAGGAAACAGGAAAAUUUAUGAAAUAAAGACCCUGCUUCCACGGAUUCUGGUCCGAGUAAAGGUGAUAAACAUGAACUUAAAUGCAGUGCGGGUCAGUAUAUAAAACGUCCCCUGCGCACCAAGUGCCUGAUUCAGACGAUUUACCACAAGGAAUUACAUGAGAGAAUCUUCUGCCAGAACAGGAGACUGCAAACUGCAGCCCACAGGCCAAGUCCACCUGCCACCUUUUUUAUGUGGCCCAUGAGCUAAAUGGCUUUUUUAUAUUUUUAAACAGUUGGAUGAAAUUCUAAAGAAGAGUAAUAUAUUAUGACACUUGAAAAUUGUUUGAAAGUAACAUUUCAAUGUCCACAGGGUUCUAUUGGAACACAGCCCCACUCAUUUCUUUACAUUUUCUCUAUGUCUCCAUUCAUGUUAUAACAGUGUUUAACGGUUGCUACAGGGGUUGUAUGGCCCAGAAGCCUGAAAUAUUUACUAUCCAGGCCUUCACAGAAAAAAUAUGGUCACAGAAAAAAUCCCUGGUCUUGUGGAUCAAGGUUGAAUCGAAUCUUGAAGGAUAAGGCAGAAUUUGUAUUGGUAGGAUAGCUAGGGGGGUGAUUUAGAAAAAGAUGAGCCAGGCGUAGCACUAGGAAGGCACACAGCUUAUUCAGAAGGGACUGAACACGUCAGUGGUCCUGGGGUGGGGAGUUGAUGAAGUCGGUGAAGAGGCCAUCCACUGGAAAGACACAGCAGGCACGGCAUGAGGAGAGUGAGGAGGAAAGAAGUGCUUCUCCCCACACCCACCCCCAGCCCCAAACCACUUCCAUUCUCCUGCAGAAAAUAAAAACCAAUAAAGGCCUUUUUAAACACAGAGUGAUGUAUUCAAAGAAAAGUUUUUCAAAAGACUAAUUUGGUGACAAUGUGGAUGGAUAGGAAGUUGGUGGGAAAACGACGAGAAAAAGAUAAGGGAAACUGAAAAUAAAGAUUUAGAUAGAAGACCCUUAAAUAGUUCUAUCAGCAAAGAAGGAAGACAGAAAAUCAUGUGGUUGCCUCGUUGAUGUCUGUAUAGCUGCAGGGAUCCACAUAGAGGGUACUCUUAAUAUAUGCUGCUUGGAUAAAUGCACAGAUGGAUAAAAGGAAGGAAGGAGGGAGGGAGAGAGGAAGGGGGACAGAGAGGAAGGAAGCGAGGGAAAAAACAUUUGAGAGAUUUUGUCAAUCGACUAAGUGAAGUAAAGAAUAAACACAUGAACAAAUUUAGAGUUUAGCUUUAGCCAUGUAGCAUUUUAGGCAACAAAGAGGCAUUCACAAGAAAAUGGCUACCAGCAGUGGGAAAUGUGAGCUGCCAGCUCUGGAUCAAGAUCAGAAUGGAGAUAGAGAUAGAAGCAUCCAUCUACUCCUUUAAAGAUCGGUCCCAUGAGUCUGAGAGUCCCAACAAGCUUCUCCUGAAUAGUUGGUAGGAGCUUAUUACGCUUAUAUUUACUUUAAGAUGGGUAGGCAACUUUCUAAACCUGCAAGAGAAAGUUGUAAAGGCAGAAUCUGUCACUGUGUCUAGCAAUUUGCAAGGUAUACUAGAGGUGAUCUUAUUAACAUAACAAGCAUUAGCCUCUGAGAUUCCACACCCGUAUCAUUACUUCCAUCAGCAACACAGAGAGAGAGGCAUCAGGGCACCAUUCUGUUAUUUGCAAACAGACGCUUGCUUCUGGAAAAUUAUGAUGCAGACUACGUGAAUGGGAAAAAAUACUGGUUUCAUUUUUUCCCUCACCUGGAUAUCUCUUAAGUAGAGUCUGGGAAACCGGUUUUAAAAAGUGUGCUUAUAAAUGUUCUGUAUUUAUUCUCAAAGCUACCCUGGAACGCUUCCCUGACAAUCCCAUUUCUAGCAAUUAUCAUUUUAAAUUAUGUUUUAACAACUAAAUGACUCUAGGAGCACAGAAAGGGGCACGAACAGUUUCACGGUGUGACACACUUUCUGUGAACCGCACUGAAGCCAGAGGGUUGCAAUAAAUAAAGUGGCUUUUAUCUCGAUCAAACUUACUCAAAGAUGUACGCAUGUAUCUCCAAAAACCCGUAGGCAGUUCCCCACUUCCUGAUGAACACUGGCUUUUCUUGAAAUAUAUGCUUAGCGGUGGAAUCUAGGAAGGAUCUGUCUGUGUUUUAUAAGCAUCAUUAUCAGAACAAAGGCAUUCAGGGAAUGAAAAAUAUCUCCACUAGGGAUUUAUGUUUGUUAAGAACUCAGAAAACACAGAAUCUGCACCUGCUACAAGAUAAUAUUGGGCUUACAAAGCAAAACAAAGAUUUCAACACAAAGCUAAAGAUAUUUAUACUCAUCGGGAUAUUUACUGAACUGAGUCAUGAGAAAAUUAAAACCUAAAUGACUUGUUAUAAAGGCACUGAAAGUCCAGAAUAUUAAGACACUAUGAGAUACAAAGAAUAGAGAUUUGUGCUGGAAAACAAUAGAAAAGAUACUAUAGAUCAGAUUACGAAGGAAGGAAGGGUGGAACAGGCCCUGCCAGUUCUUACUAUUCAUUCUGCCCACACACACAUCUUACACUAAGUUUCCUAUUUUUAAUUGAGGUAGAAAAGGCCUCACAUUCUACACUCUGGUAGUCCUGUUAUGAAUAACGCUGAGACCUCAAAGAUGGCAACAAGAACUUAAACUGGUUUUCUAAAUCUUUAUCUGCAGCAUAUUCCACAUGACAUUGUCCAUGCUGUCCCCAUGUAAUAGCAUAACCUUUUCCACCUCCAUCAUGUAACUGAGGGCUCUCCUGUCAGCUUUACGACUGUGACAAUGAAAUGUACAGGAACCCUCAAAGCUGCCUACCGAAGCUCAUAGAAGGUCAAGGGAUAAACUAAGCAGUCUGCAUAUUCCUGCUGUUCUUAUCAUUGCCAGUAAUAAUACCUCGAAUUUAAAUAAUAGCUUUCCUCCAAGGAGUCAGAAUGCUUUCAUAUGUAUAGUACUUUAUUCAGCUUUACUACUUUCCUAUAAACAAAAGAUAGUGAGGGUUUGUUGAUUCCAUUUUAGAUGGAAGAACUGAGAGACAAGUUAAUAGUUAACCAAAAAUGAUGCCAGAAUAUGCAUGAUCCUUUAACCUAGGUUUCUAAUUCAAAAUCCCAUCUUCUCUAUGCUAAAUUAUAAUUAUGCAAAACUUAUCUUUGGCAAGUGGUAGCUUUUUCUUGGAUAUUUGGAAAAAGCCUAAAGAAUUAAAGGUAAUUCCUGAUUGCAAGUUUGAAUGCAAAUAAUCUUUAUUGAGAUAUAACAAGCCAAGUAUUUCCAAUCUUAUCAUUCUAAUGUCAAAUUUUCUAGUGUCAGAAAUAAUAUUUGGGGGCCAGCCCCAUGGUGUAGUGGUGAAGUUCUGCACAAUCUGCUUCAGUGGCCCAGGUUCUCAGGUUUGGAUCCCAGGUGCAGACCUACACCACUCGUUAAGCCAUGCUGUGGAGGUGACCCACAUACAAAAUAGAGGAAGAUUGGCACAGAUAUUAGCUCAGGGCUAAUCUUCCUCAGCAAAAAAAAAUAAUAAUAAUUGGCUGUAUGAUGGUUAAGUAUUUAAGCCUAGUCGCUACCCUGUAUCUAGAGACUUUGUUUUCAGUUUUCUAAUGUUCGUGACUCAGGAGUCAACUUAAAAAGAAUGAAAGAAGAUCUCAGUUCUUAGGAGGAAACACAAAAUAUAGAGUCAUAUUAAUUAUUACCGUGUUAUUUCACAGAUCAAAAAAUACUGCUUAGACAUGAUUAUUGAUGAACCAGAACUGUCUAGAGGCAGGCACGAAGGUGUCAAAAUGGAAACAAAAAGUGGGACAGAGGAGCUGCCCAGAAAGGGGAACAGAGUCUCGUGGUUCCUUACAGCAACCAUUAGAAGAGAGAGGAGGGCCAAAGGUUGAUGAUGUCACAUAUGAACAGGACAUAUUACACAUGGAAACAGGCAAGAAAAAGUUUAUUUACAAAGCAAAGCUGGUACCAUCAGAUCCAAAAAGAUGCUUGAUAGGAAAUCUCUCACAAAGACUAAUGGAGUCCACGAUUACCACGUGAUGGGUAUUAUGCUAAGUACUUUCCACUCAUUUCUUCAUUUGAUUCUUACUACUCUGCACAUAGGUGUUAUUUUGCCCAGUUUACAGGUGAGAAAUUAGGUUAAGAGAUGCUGCCUGACUUGCCACAGGUCCCACAGCUGUUAAUUGAUAGAGUCAGAAUAAGAGCCUAAAAUAAUCUCCUUCCAAAGUUUGCUCUUAACCACUCUGCCAUGCUGACUAAUUUCGAGAAAAAAGAUUAAACCUUUGAGAAAAACUAACAAGGACUUUUUUUCAAGGAUUUUAUCUCUCACACCAGUUCCUCUGUGUUUCCCUUUUUCUCUUGGACUAAAAUACUCCCCCAUUUACUGAGGGAGGGGGAGGUCAGAGAAACAUUCACAUAUUACACCUAUUACUCAUGUCUCGAGGGAACCUGAAGGGCAACUCUGUUGGCAUAGUCGUGAGCACAAGCGUAAUUAAGAAUUUCUAGUACCUGAGUGAGCUCCAGGAUUUAUCCUCCACCCCAGCCCAUUAUAGACCCAAAUAUCAUCAUGCACACACACAUGCCAAAUCCAAGUCAGUCAAGAGCAUUCCUGGAUACCAUCAUGUGCGGAUCUAUAUAGUAGAAACCGGCCAGCUCUGCACCCUAUCUAGUUUUUCUCCUGCUGGGUUCAGCUGUCCCCACCCUGGCACUAGCAUCAUUUGGCCAUCAGAGAAGAGAAAUAGCAUAUUCACAAGAGUGCCCAAGUAGCCAACAGAAUAACUAGCUUCCAUCAAAAACUAACCCUAUCAGUAAAAUCUGUAAAAAUCUCUCAAUGGUUAAGUACAGCAUACAGAGCCAAUCACAGCCUUGCUUUCUUCCCUGCUUCAUCUCCCACUCUUCUCUUCCCACACUCCACCCUAAUACAUGGAAUCACUUCCCAAUCCGUAAAUACACAAUGCUCUUUCAUGAUACUAGGUUUUUGAAAAUGCUGUUCUUUUUCCCAAGGUGGCUUUUUCUCCCUGAGCCAGUUGACAAACUCAUUAUCCUCCUCCAGAUCCAGCUCAAACGUCCUCCCCUCUUUUCUGUAUUACCUUCCCCCUUCUGUGCUCUUGGACCUGUAGAAGGCCUGUGUUCUAGCGCCCGUGAUAUUGCACAGAGAAUUUAUUCACAUGUCUGUCUUCCCAGCGAAUCUGCGAAUCCAGCGCCUAGAGCAGAGCCCAACAUAUAGUAAACAAUAGAUGGAGACUGGAUGGUCUGUGAGUGAACGAAGGAAUGAGCCUGAGAACUGUGCUUUUCCUCAAAUGCUUUACAGUUUUAGUUCAGACUUGUAAGUUUAGGCAGGUACUUUGGGUUACUGACAUAAUCGUUCUCCAUGAAUUCAAAUAAAAGCUGUAAACAUUGGUAGUUAUCCAAUAGAAAAAAAUUCUACUUGAGAUGAAUGGGACUACAGAAUUGGAGAGCUCACAGGACCCAAGCUCAGGAACCAGAAAGAGGUGGAGGAAGAGGAAGGAAGUGACUAAGAAGGGCAGCGUGCUAACUGGGUCGCUGUAUCAUCACACACACCGACAACAGCUCUGAUUUACGUUACAUUGCUUCAAUGCUAGGAGGAGUCUUGAUUCUUUGGCUAAUUUUCCUCUCAGGUGACAGUGAUUGGAUUUCUGGCCCUUGACAGUGGACUCCUCAGGCCCAGGGGCCUUCAACCACCUCUGUGACCUGCAGGAGAAACGAGAAGCUCUUACCUGGCUGCAGAUAGCUUUCUCUGCCUGAGUUCCCCAGGCAGCUGGUCUUGGAGGCCUCACUGAAGAGGGGCAGAAUUGUGAAUGUUUAAGAAGGCUGACUUCAGCAUCACUUGGAUUCACAUCAUGAACGUGCCAUGUCUGUGUGACCUCCGGCAGAUGUUCUUCCAUUUCCUAAGCUUCAGAUUUUCAUCUGUAAAGUGGAGAUAUGUAUAUUACCUACCUCCCAGAGUUGUUGUGAGGACAAAAUUGAGGUAAUGUAACAUAAAGUACUUAGCACAAUUCCUGGUACAUAGUCAGUGUUCAGUAGCAGUCAGCUGCUCUCAUUAUCAUUGCUGUUGCUAUUGUCAUUGUUGUUACUAUUACUGAUCAUAUUCAGGGCAUUGCCGAAAGGAGCAUAGAGGUCCUCUCUGCUCCCAGGACCUACAGAUCUCUUUCUCUUCCUUCUUUCCCCAGGCCAGGAAAUUCUUUUCACCUGGGAGAGAGGUUCCCAUGUUCUUCACCACUUUCACCUGGAUUCUCCCCUGCUGGUUGCACAUCACUUUAUCUUGAUAUUUCUCCUACAGUCACCUAGGAAAAUGGUCCCGAUGGCUUUAUGUGGUUUUUUGGAGAGGCAAGGAGGCUUCUUUCCCCAAAACAUCCUUAGACAAAGAAUAGGGAGGAGGGGAAAGGGGGAAAUACAGAAAGAAAAAAAAGCAUUAAUUUGUAUCUCAAAAUAUUAUUUAGCUGCACUGAUGCAAAGUGGUAUGAGAACAUUAAAAAGGAAAAACUUAACUCCCUCUGGGGAAAACAGAGAAAGGCAUAGGUGAUCACAUCUGCAUCCUAAAAGAUGACUCAUGUUCACUGUGGCAAAAAGGCUGGGCAGGUGCAUUUCCUCACUCUCCCGUAAGCUCUCCGAGGGAAGGACCAAAUUCUAAUUUGUUCUCCAACGUACCUCUAAUCUUUCCAGGUGCCUGGCACAUCACGGACAUUUAAUAAACUUUUGUUUGAUAAAUAAAGUAAAUUUCUGGAGAAGAAAUAACACGCAUAAAACCACAAGCCUUAAAAACGUUUAGAUGUUCAGAGAAGUAACAGGUAGAUGGAAGCAAAGCUUUAGAGGGUGAGGGGAGAGAGAGAGAGAGAGAGUGACUAAUGGAAAUAAAACACGUUAUAGAACUAACCGGGAUGAACUCAUUGGUCUUACUAAAAAGUUUCAAUUCUUCAUGUAAUGGAAGUAUUGAUUUAAGCAGAGGAGUGACCAAAUCAGGUAUAAAUGAUGAGCAUGUGGGGCAAGGCUGGACACAAGAGAGAGUAGUUAGAGAACUAGGCAAAGUCUGCGGUGGUCCAGGAAAGGAAAUUGAACUACUAGACAUAAUUACCGCUCCUCUGUAAUAGAAUUCUGUAAUAGAAGUGUAACAGCUUUGUGGAGGGGAGGGCUAAGUGAGCUUCCCCACCUCUUGACACUAGGCUUAGCCAUAUGUCUUCCUUUGACAGAUAGGAUGUUAGCGGGCGUGGCUCAAGUAGAAGCUUGAAAUGUGCUUGUGCACUUGAGGUAAGCUUUUGAGCUGAGGGGAUCUGCCAUGAGAAGAAUAUGCUUCAGUAGCCACUGAACCUCAGCCUAGGCCUCAGAAUGAGACACACGUGGCAGGCCUGAACACAACAUGCAGCCUGCAGCUCACAACCCAGACUCUGGAGCCCAGCCUCACCCAACUGAGACUCAUGAGAAUAAAUCAUGUUGUUUUAAGGCAGCCAUUGAAUUUUAGAGUAGUUUCUUAAAGGAUCCUCUGGAUUCUAAAACUUGAGAUUUUUUAAAACUUCGUGGCCCCCUCUUCACACUGGUGUCUCUGCUAUUUACAGUCUCCACAAGACUUUUAAAAUUAAGAGAAAGUCCUACAUUCUGGCUGGAGUCCUUGAGGAAGCCUGUUACUUUGUUCCUAGGGAAAAAUGAGAAGAGUACCAAAUCAUUGUUUGGAAGAAAAACCUGAACUCGAUGAAAAACUUCCAAAGAAAAUGCUUCAGAAUGGAAAGUUAAGGUUUAAUAAUGUAAAUUGGGAAAUUUUUUAGAAGAGCUUUCACAGAUGUGUUUUAAGAAAAUGUUUCUGUUCACAAACUGGAUGUGAGCCAUACUAUAAGUACCAAGGACUGCAUAUUUGCAGAGUCGUCUGUCUCGCUCUAUGAGUAUUUGAAAUGGAAAACAAGGAUAGAGAAGAUGGUAUGAAGGUCUUACAGGCCCAAUUCUUCCUCCACUUCAUGUUACUACUAAAAAGAAGCUAGACUGGCUAAGGCUGGCACACACUUACCUGAAUGACUGCAUUCACAUGAGGUAUUACUUAAGGCAGAAAAACUCUGUUGGGUUAUGGUGUUAUAGGGUUAUGAGUUUCAAUGGUUCCUAAAGCAAAAUCACAGCUUCUUGGCUAGGUGUGGAGUUUUCCUUGAAGAGAGUUUAUCUUCUCAUUGUCAACCAUCUUGGAUGAGCUCCAAUGGGAGGCAAGAAAUGAGGACCUAGGGCCUUAGAUCGAGGUGAACAGCAUCUUCUCUUUGGUCCUAGGAAUUUGGAAGGGGCUCUGAGUCAUGGCUAUGCUGAGACAUUCCUGGCAAGAUGUCAGCCAGCCUGAAGCUGGACCAAUGAGAGAUCUGAGGUCCUGUCUACUUGAAGAAUAACCACUUUUAUAGCAAUACUUUUCCUGCCAGGACUACUCACCGCUUCUCACCGAAACCAUUUUUUGUGACUUUAGUGUUUGUGGAUCUAGAAUUUUAUCUUAAGAAGUA